AAGGACCACGUGGGCGAUCCGCGUGCGCGCGAUCAGACGGCCCAGAUGCGUCCCCGCGCGCACGGACGGCCCAGAUCAAGCGUGCGCACGGACGACCCAGAUGCAAUCGCACGGACAGCCCAGAUGCACGCGCACGGACGGCCCAGAUUCAAUCAAAAACAGACGGUCUAGAUUUAAUCAAAAUGGACGGCUGAUAUCAAAAGGCAAAAGGGUAUGAAUAGAACCCCCACACCUGACCACAAAAACCCUAGCCGCUUGCCCUCGCC
rnacentral:lncRNA from 1 species